rnacentral:rRNA from 1 species
CAGUAGCCGCGGGAAUACGUAGGGGGCAAGCGUUAUCCGGAUUUACUGGGUGUAAAGGGAGCGUAGACGGAAUGGCAAGUCUGAAGUGAAAUGCCCGGGCUCAACCCGGGAACUGCUUUGGAAACUGUCGAUCUGGAGUGUUGGAGAGGUAAGUGGAAUUCCUGGUGUAGCGGUGAAAUGCGUAGAGAUCAGGAAGAACACCGGAGGCGAAGGCGGCUUACUGGACAAAGACUGACGUUGAGGCUCGAAAGCGUGGGAAGCAAACAGGAUUAGAUACCCCGGUAGUCCCUGUCUCUUAUAC